GAUGAACGCUGGCGGCGUGCCUAAUACAUGCAAGUCGAGCGAACAGACGAGGAGCUUGCUCCUCUGACGUUAGCGGCGGACGGGUGAGUAACACGUGGAUAACCUACCUAUAAGACCGGGAUAACUUCGGGAAACCGGAGCUAAUACCGGAUAAUAUAUUGAACCGCAUGGUUCAAUAGUGAAAGACGGUUUUGCUGUCACUUAUAGAUGGAUCCGCGCCGCAUUAGCUAGUUGGUAAGGUAACGGCUUACCAAGGCAACGAUGCGUAGCCGACCUGAGAGGGUGAUCUGCCACACUGGAACUGAGACACGGUCCAGACUCCUACGGGAGGCAGCAGUAGGGAAUCUUCCGCAAUGGGCGAAAGCCUGACGGAGCAACGCCGCGUGAGUGAUGAAGGUCUUCGGAUCGUAAAACUCUGUUAUUAGGGAAGAACAAAUGUGUAAGUAACUAUGCACGUCUUGACGGUACCUAAUCAGAAAGCCACGGCUAACUACGUG
rnacentral:rRNA from 1 species